CAAAACAAAAAACCAGAAACAGAACGAAAAAUAACUGCCAAUUUUUUGACGUCAGAACAAUUUUUAGAAGCUUUCCAAAUGCCAAAGUUACAUGUGUUAUCGUAUCUGAGCUACUUGUGACCUGUCUUGGAUUCUCUUCUCGCGUGGCCCAUAUCAUAAAGUAGAGGUGGGGGGCGGGGGAAUGGGAUGAGAGAUUCUUCCAUUUCUGUCUUUCAGGCUUUCUUACAAGAACUGAAAAGAAAGAAAACCCCUGUUCGGAUUUCCCUCUUUUAUCUUGAAAUCUCAAGCAAUCUUCACCACCUAGAGUGAGGAAACGAUGGUGGUAUUGCUGUGGUUAAGCUUGCAGUCCAUCAUCGAUUUGGUGGUCGCUGGGAUUUCUCUGAUGAUUGGGUUGGGGAUUUUUGCCUUCAUUGCUUCUGUUCUUUGCUCUGCUGCUUUCUUGCACCAUGCCAAAAGUGCCUCUUAAUUUCAUGUUUCAAUGCUCGGAUGAUGCUGAUAAUGGUGAAGCAAUUGAUGUAGCAACAUUUUGUUGGAGAAUAGUUACAAAUACAAUCACUAUUGGUAUCACUGGCCUUCCUGACCACCAUGGCAGGCUGGGGUGCUAACAUCCAGAGUCCUGCAAUUAGAAGCUAUGCAUUCCCCCACAGCCCACCACUCCUCCAAGAAAGGUGUCGAAAGUGGUAAAUCAGCAGCAAGUUUGAAAGCGCAGUUUGUUGUUUCUUGGGGAAAAAGUUCCUUUGAAGCGGACUCGAUGGUGGAUGGGUUGUGAUCUCAGUCUUUAUGUAUCUAAAUUGACAGUGUAGGAACUCCACCUGUACUCAACAAUAAAAGCUUUCAUUGCAACGAAUUGAACUGUGGUUGAGAUGAAGGCAGUUUUCCUUUGAUAUACUUUGGUAUACAUCUGCUAUAUUAUACCCUGCACAAUUACAGAAGAUUCAA